rnacentral:rRNA from 1 species
AUUAAACGCUGGCGGCAUGCCUUACACAUGCAAGUCGAACGGCAGCACGGGGCAACCUGGUGGCGAGUGGCGAACGGGUGAGUAAAGCAUCGGAACGUGCCCUGGAGUGGGGGAUAACGUAGCGAAAGUUACGCUAAUACCGCAUAUUCUGUGAGCAGGAAAGCGGGGGAUCGCAAGACCUUGCGCUCUGGGAGCGGCCGAUGUCGGAUUAGCUAGUUGGUGGGGUAAAGGCCUACCAAGGCGACGAUCCGUAGCGGGUCUGAGAGGAUGAUCCGCCACACUGGGACUGAGACACGGCCCAGACUCCUACGGGAGGCAGCAGUGGGGAAUUUUGGACAAUGGGCGCAAGCCUGAUCCAGCCAUGCCGCGUGAGUGAAGAAGGCCUUCGGGUUGUAAAGCUCUUUCGGCCGGGAAGAAAUCGCAUGGGUCAAUACCCUGUGUGGAUGACGGUACCGGAAUAAGAAGCACCGGCUAACUACGUG